rnacentral:rRNA from 1 species
GACGAACGCUGGCGGCGUGCUUAACACAUGCAAGUCGAACGGUGAUCUUGGGAGCUUGCUCCUGGGUUAUCAGUGGCGAACGGGUGAGUAACACGUGAGUAACCUGCCCCUGACUCUGGAAUAACUUCGGGAAACCGAAGCUAAUACCGGAUAUGACACAGAGCCGCAUGGUUUCUGUGUGGAAAGGUCUUUCGGUUGGGGAUGGACUCGCGGCCUAUCAGCUUGUUGGUGAGGUAAUGGCUAGCCAAGGCGACGACGGGUAGCCGGCCUGAGAGGGCGACCGGGCACACUGGGGCUGAGACACGGCCCAGACUCCUACGGGAGGCAGCAGUGGGGAAUAUUGCACAAUGGGCGAAAGCCUGAUGCAGCGACGCCGCGUGAGGGAUGAAGGCCUUCGGGUUGUAAACCUCUUUCAGUAGGGAAGAAGCGCAAGUGACGGUACCUACAGAAGAAGCACCGGCUAACUACGUGCCAGCCGCCGCGGUAAGAC